AUACGUAGGGUGCAAGCGUUAAUCGGAAUUACUGGGCGUAAAGCGUGCGCAGGCGGUUUUGUAGGACAGGGGUGAAAUCCCCGGGCUCAACCUGGGAACUGCCAUUGUGACUGCAAGGCUGGAGUGCGGCAGAGGGGGAUGGAAUUCCGCGUGUAGCAGUGAAAUGCGUAGAUAUGCGGAGGAACACCGAUGGCGAAGGCAAUCCCCUGGGCCUGCACUGACGCUCAUGCACGAAAGCGUGGGGAGCAAACAGGAUUAGAUACCCUGGUAGUCCACGCCCUAAACGAUGUCAACUGGUUGUUGGGGAUUUAUUUUCUCAGUAACGAAGCUAACGCGUGAAGUUGACCGCCUGGGGAGUACGGCCGCAAGGUUAAAACUCAAAUGAAUUGACGGGG
rnacentral:rRNA from 1 species